UUUUACCGCAUGGCAGUGAUGUGACGAGCUGGGUGAGAGUGUUGAGAAUUCAAGUGUAGUGUUGGAGUUCGACAUUUGUUAAGUAUGAGUGAGAGGAAAACUGUAUAAGAGAUGUGACCCAUAAACCUGAUACCUUAAGAUUUUGAGUUAAGAUGUGAUGUCGAUAUCUCUUGGGUGUCGUGCUCCUCGGGUCAUGGGCUCUCCUAUAUCUCCCAACAAGUGGUAUCAGAGCCGAUGAUUCAUAGGACCAUGGUAACGACUAUUUGUGUCGAAAAUCUUCCUAGCAGUGUUGAAUUGCUCGUUCAAAACCCACCCUUUGGUCCGAACCUGACCCCACCCGACCGAUGGACAUGCCUACUAGGUCCUAGAGAACCAAGGACACCUCCUUUUUGUUUUCAUAAAAAAUAUCUCUCUUUAUUGGGAGAAGCCCAAAAUGGAUAGGGCUGAAAGCCCAAAUAACAACAAAGCGCAUGUCCUUCUACCAGCCCUGAAGUUAGUACAAAGAAACUGUAUUCUUCGAGAGAGCACCUCCAUUGGACUCUUGUUGAUGCCGACGAAGAAGAAGACGGGGACAGCAUUCACGAUGGGUUCAUUUUCAAAGAUGAAAAUUCCCGAGGUCAUCAUCAGCUCCAGAAAAUGCCACCAUCAAUUGCAAUUGUAACUAGAAAAAGAUUCCGGAACUUAGACUUCAGCUUGCUGCACUUCUUGCCGUGAAUUUCAUGAGCUAGCUAUUAUGCUUAUGAGAUUUUCAUUCGGACGUGUAUUUUGAUAUUAUUUUGGAAAUGCCUAAAAUGGAUGCUAACUGAAAGCAGGUGAAGGCUUAUGUAUCUGUAUUUUUAUUCAAAUAUAUGCAUAUUCAUAAACUUUUUUCUUCAUUAUUUUGGGGGGAAGGGGAGAUUAUGACAUAUUGAGAGCUCUGCAAUCUGGUACUGCUUCUAAUACUCGUUUAUGUCUGCACUUUUUUUUUUUUUUCCCUUUAAGAGUACUAUAGAGUGGCAGUCCACCUGAUUUAUCUGUUCUUCAGUUCUUGGGUUGGUUCUAAUUGCUGAGCGCUGAAUUGUUAGUGAUGAGUGAUUUUAAAGUCCCGACAUUUUGUUUUAGAAAACCGCUAAAUAUGGAAUAUAAAUCUUAAUGAAUGCAGAACUAGGCAUGCCUCAGUUAAGCUGCUUAGAUUGGGAUCUGCUAGUGGUUUUGAACUUAUGCCUUAAAUUAUUACUUUGUAUUUUUGAAUCAUUGGAGUGUAGGUGCAGUUGUGUCUCAAACUAGAAAAUUUAAUAGUUGGUGCUAUUUUUCACCCUAAAAGAUAGGUCAAAUAAUAUGCCCAGGAAACAUAAUCACUAGGUAGUAGAAUGAUGAUCUUCAAAACUGGAUUGAUGUGCAUCACUUAGAAGAUCAUUUGGAAGAAAGAGGUUGCAUUAUUCUGGCACUGAGUAGGAAACAGUAUUUAAUUGAACUCUUCUGGACGAAAAUUCACUCACUUGCCUUUUUUCCUUAUAUUUUUAUGAUUUUCAAAGCACGGUAAGUGAUACACCGGGUCGGUGUUCUCCUCCGUACGUGUCUGCAAUUAUGUAAAGAAGAGCUAGACCACGAUAAAAAAGUUGACUAAAUUUCUUCAUAUUAACAAAGAUGGCUUGGCUGGUUGGACAUCCUCUUCUUAAGGUGUAGCUGAGAUUGAUUGUGGUAUAUUUGUACAAGGCUGGGGUGGAAUGAUUUAAUCAAAAUCUCAUGUCCUGGAGAACUUCAUGUGAAGAUGAUUGAAUCAAAGUGCAUUUGCUCAUGAAUGCAUUCAAAUAAGCGAAAAGCUAUGAAUGAACCAUAUGGUCUGACACACGCAGAACAUGUUCUUUGUAUUGACUACCUUAAAUGUCCUUUGCUGGAGAUUGAGGCAUCUGGCUUAGGUGUACCAUUCCGGGCAGCCUCUUGUUGCUCCAAAGCCUUGGACUCGGAAGUAUUCUAACCAAGCAGUUGCAUCCUGUAAUAGAUUCAUUUCCAUGUGUCUAAGGAACAAGGCUUAUUGUUUAUAUAUAUAUAUAUAUAUAUAUAUAUAUAUAUAUAUAUAUAUAC